GGUCUAAUGGUCUAAUGGUCAUGACAUCAGAUUCUGAUUAACAGAAGCUUCUGAUAGCCCAGGUUCGAUUCCUGGUUGGACCU